UACGUAGGUGGCAAGCGUUAUCCGGAUUUACUGGGUGUAAAGGGCGUGUAGGCGGGAAAGCAAGUCAGAUGUGAAAACCACGGGCUCAACCCGUGGCCUGCAUUUGAAACUGUUUUUCUUGAGUACUGGAGAGGCAGACGGAAUUCCUAGUGUAGCAGUGAAAUGCGUAGAUAUUAGGAGGAACACCAGUGGCGAAGGCGGCCUGCUGGACUGUGACUGACGUUGAGGCCCGAAGGCGUGGGGAGCAAACAGG
rnacentral:rRNA from 1 species